CCUGGUUGAUUCUGCCAGUAGUCAUAUGCUUGUCUCAAAGAUUAAGCCAUGCAUGGUCUAAGUAUAAGCAAUUAUACCGCGAAACUGCGAAUGGCUCAUUAAAUCAGUUAUCGUCUAUUUGAUAGUACCUACUACUUGGAUAACCGUGGUAAUUCUAGAGCUAAUACAUGCUGAAAAACCCCGACUUCGGAAGGGAUGUAUUUAUUAGAUUAAAAACCAAUGCCCUCCGGGGCUCCCUGGUGAUUCAUAAAACUGCUCGAAUCGCACGGCCUUGCGCCGGCGAUGGUCAUUCAAAUUUCUGCCCUAUCAACUUUCGACGGCUGGUCUUGGCCAGCCAUGGUGACAACGGGUAACGGAGGGUUAGGGCUCGACCCCGGAGAAGGAGCCUGAGAAACGGCUACUACAUCCAAGGAAGGCAGCAGGCGCGCAAAUUACCCAAUCCCGACGCGGGGAGGUAGUGACAAUAAAUACUGAUACAGGGCUCUUUUGGGUCUUGUAAUUGGAAUGAGUACAAUUUAAUUCCCUUAACGAGGAACAAUUGGAGGGCAAGUCUGGUGCCAGCAGCCGCCGGUAAUUCCAGCUCCAAUAGCGUAUAUUAAAGUUGUUGCAGUUAAAAGCUCGUAGUUGAACCUUGGGCCUGGCUGGCCGGUCCGCCUCACCGCGUGCACUGGUCCGGCGGGCCUUCCCUCUGGGAGCCGCAUGCCCUUCACUGGGCGUGCCGGGGAACCAGGACGUUUACUUUGAAAAAUUAGAGUGUUCAAAGCAGGCUUAUGCCUCGGAUACAUUAGCAUGGAAUAAUAGAAUAGGACGCGCGGUUCUAUUUUGUUGGUUUCUAGGACCGCCGUAUGAUUAAUAGGGACAGUCGGGGGCAUCAGUAUUCAAUUGUCAGAGGUGAAAUUCUUGGAUCUAUUGAGACUAACUACUGCGAAAGCAUUUGCCAAGGAUGUUUUCAUUAAUCAGGAACGAAAGUUAGGGGAUCGAGACGAUCAGAUACCGUCGUAGUCUUAACCAUAAACUAUGCCGACUAGGAUCGGACGGUGUUAUUUUUGACCCGUUCGGCACCUUACACGAAAGUACAAGUUUCUGGGUUCUGGGGGGAGUAUGGUCGCAAGGCUGAAACUUAAAGAAAUGACGGAAGGGCACCACCAGGGGUAAACACUGAUUGUUUCGCCGCAGUUAACUCUGCCCCGGAAAGCCGCCGAAAGGGUCGGUGGUGCCCCGCUGGCUAGUCGACGCCCCCCGCCGGGGGCGGCGGCGACAUCCUCAAAGUGCGGGGAAC
rnacentral:rRNA from 1 species